UCUUUUCAUUGUGUGCCAGCAGCCGCGGUAAUACGUAGGGGGCUAGCGUUAUCCGGAUUUACUGGGCGUAAAGGGUGCGUAGGCGGUCUUUUAAGUCAGGAGUGAAAGGCUACGGCUCAACCGUAGUAAGCUCUUGAAACUGGAGGACUUGAGUGCAGGAGAGGAGAGUGGAAUUCCUAGUGUAGCGGUGAAAUGCGUAGAUAUUAGGAGGAACACCAGUAGCGAAGGCGGCUCUCUGGACUGUAACUGACGCUGAGGCACGAAAGCGUGGGGAGCAAACAGG
rnacentral:rRNA from 1 species